CGACGGUGGGCCGAAGGAAGUGUUGGCGCGUUAAUGUGCGGAAGUAGAGGAAGACAUGAAGCGUAAGGAAGAGGAAGAGCUUGUGAGAUGACCAUAGGAGCACACUUUGGGGUCAUCAGACAGUGCUUCCUACAACUUUGGGACGCAGCAGAGAGGUGUUCGACUGUGUUCCUAUCAGCACUCUCCUUAUCAAGACCGCCUCUGCAUUUGCUAAUGAGGACCUGUUACGGGACUCUCCGCGUCGUGAAUGGGGAGUGUUUGGGAGCGCCGCCACCGCCCCCCCUUUUCCCUGAGGCUCUGUGGUCCUACUCGAGCUGAGGAUCUCUCGUCCCCCUUGUCCCGGCCACUCCCACGCGGCUCACCUGGCGGGCUGGAGGGCGGGAAGGAAGGCUCCGCAGGGAAGAGUUAAUGCGGCGGAGAGAAGGGUGCUCCUCCCGCCUCCAGGGACAAGAACAGUCCACAAAGAAAGGCCGUAAUUGAUUGCCAUCGAGACGGCGAUGGUGGUGCCCCGUUGUGCAACUCACGGUGAAGUGCUGGGCCUUAUGACUGCCUGUGUGUUGUGCAUAUUAUAUGAUAUUAAUUAUUUCAAUGAGCUGACUGUGUAAAACAAAUGAUUGUGGCUAAAUGUAUUGCCAAAACCGUUUUUCAAAUACGGCAUGAAGUAAAGUUUUGAAAACAGCAACUACGCAAUGUGCAAAAAGUCUCAGCACGAGAGGAGUUAAAAUUUUAAUAUCAUUAGUGAAGUUUGAGAUAGCAAUUCCGGUUGACAUAAAAAAAUCCUCAUUCAUUUCUCCUAAGAACAAUUGUUUUCAUAUGGUUUAUUAAGCUUCGCAAUGCUCAUGACUGUUGGAUGCGCUUUAAGGUAUUAUCAAAUGAACAUCAGAAUCGAAUUAGUGACUCACGGUAGUUGUACGGAGGAUAAAAUUUAAUCGACUUUCAGAUUAAUGUCCUGUUUUACACACAUGUCGCACAGCCAAGGCGGCGGCUGGGACGUUCGUGGCGGCGGGCUGAUCGCGUCACCCCGAGGACUCGCGGUCAAAAUGUGUUGGAAAUACUUUGGAAUAAACACUUAAUCGGGAGAGACCAUUUGCAUAUUAUUUGAGCGCAUUCCUUCCUCUCCCCAGCCUUUCCCUCUAACCUCCCCCCUCAUCCCUACAGCACGGCGCCCCCCACUGCCUCCCGCCCUCUGCUCCCUGCCCCUUCAUCCUCCAGUCCCUUUCCGUAAUGGACGACACAAAAGGCUGCAUACCACUUGCUUAUCCGUCCCAGCGCGCCUCAAAGCCACUGCAAGUUCACUCUGAUCGUCAUUUGAAGUUAAUGUUCGCCUUUUAGCCACAGCUCUUUAUCGCGCUGGUCUCCCGGGGCGCCAUUGUGAGGGAGAGCCGAGGGAAGAGUGAGGGUGGGAAGAUGAGGAGAAGGAGCAAUGAGUGGAGGUGGUUAGUGAGGGAAGGCGGGAGAAGAAGGAUUGGGUGGAUGAGAAAAGGAGGGGAAAUGAGCCACCGUGGAAGCGACAUGUGGAUUGGUAUAACGAUCUUGUAUAGGUUCGGGUUUCCCCAUACAGCUUUUUGGAUGUACGCAGAAGUGUUACAGAGACAAAGAGGAUAAAACAGGUGACGUACUUCAUAACACUUCUUAUAUGAAACACUCCAUUCCACACGAGGUUUAGUAUCAAUGCAGGAUUUUUUUUUUCAGUGCUGCAGUUAGGCUUUAAGCACCCACACGAGCAUGCACAGCAAAGCCCGGUUGUAAAGCAUCCUUAAUUGCCUUUAGUGAUCUCUCCGUUAUUAGAAAAGAUCGAUUUCCUGUACGUCAUUCUGAUCAUUGAUUUUUGGCGUCCAUCAUCACCGCAGCUCGAAAUGACGGAAUACAAGUAAGAAAUUUUACGACCCGGUCAGAAAUUUUAUUCAUGACACUCACAUAAUUGCUCCGAGCGAUCUUGGGUUGCCUGCCUUAUGAUCUUAAUUAAGAAGUUGUUAUGAAGUGGUCCCCAUUUUGAGGAAAAUAGUAAGCCCAACAAUUAUAGCCAAAAUAAGUCAGUGGCAUCACCUGCAGAUCAUGAAAACAUCGUAA